CUGACGCAGCAACGCCGCGUGAGUGAUGAAGGCCUUCGGGUUGUAAAGCUCUUUCGGCUGGGAAGAAGGG
rnacentral:rRNA from 1 species